CAAGAAUACAACCAAUAGGAUCACAGAAUCAUAUAAUGCUUUGGAUCAGAAAGGACCUUCAAAGUGUGAAAAGGUAGGAGGAAUUCAAAUUGGAAUGGGGUCAGCAUAUCAAGGGAUGAGCUUCAUGACCACCACCACCACUGGCAAGAACCUGUCUGUGGUCAGGCACAUGCCCCUGUCCCCAGCAUGACACUCCAAAUUGCUUGCUCAAUACGAGAGAGCUGAGCAGCACUUA